UACGUAGGCAGCGAGCGUUGUUCGGAGUUACUGGGCGUAAAGAGUGCGUAGGCGGUUUUCUAAGUUUGGUGUGAAAUCUCCCGGCUUAACUGGGAGGGUGCGCCGAAGACUGGAAGGCUUGAGUAUGGGAGAGGUAAGCGGAAUUCCUGGUGUAGCGGUGAAAUGCGUAGAUAUCAGGAGGAACACCUGGCGGUGUAGACGGCUUACUGGACCAUCACUGACGCUGAGGCACGAAAGCGUGGGUAGCAAACAGG
rnacentral:rRNA from 1 species